UUUCGCAAUGCCCGAAAGGGUGACGAAGCGACGCCGCGUGUGGGAAGAAGGCCUUCGGGUUGUAAACCACUGUCGGGAGUUAAGAGAGGUGUACGGGUAAAUAGUCCGUGCAUUUGACAAAAGCUCCGGAGGAAGCCACGGCUAACUCUGUGCCAGCAGCCGCGGUAAUACAGAGGUGGCAAGCGUUGUUCGGAAUUAUUGGGCGUAAAGAGCACGUAGGCGGCCCAGCAAGUCAGCUGUGAAAGCCUCCUGCUUAACGGGAGAAGUGCAGUUGAAACUACGGGGCUAGAGUGCGGAAGGGGAGAGUGGAACUUCUGGUGGAGCGGUGAAAUGCGUAGAUAUCAGAAGGAACACCGGCGGCGAAAGCGGCUCUCUGGUCCGUAACUGACGCUGAGGUGCGAAAGCCAGGGGAGCAAACGGGAUUAGAUACCCCGGUAGUCCUGGCCGUAAACGAUGGGCACUAAGUAGAGGGGUUUU
rnacentral:rRNA from 1 species